GGAGGACUAUAAGAAGGAGGCGAGCCAGUACUUCGACACCUGAGUGUUUUGCCUCUUCGUGGUUGAUCAAGCCUCGUUCAUGAGAGAUAUCAGAAGGAACUUACCAACAGUUUUUAAGGACUCUGGAUUCUUGUUUUGUUCCGCUGGCAGCCAGAUCUGACGUUGUCCUCACAGCUUCAAGCGAACCCUGUCCACCCUCCACCACAACUCUCAGGACUCACCUGCUACGGCAGUGUCGCAUAGCCCGCCGCUCAUCAGGAUAACAACCUCUCUCCCUGGCGGACUUAACCCUACCCAAUUCUCUCUGCUACUUCUGUUUCCAGCACCUGAGCCUGAAAAUAAAGAUUUCUUAA